UACGGGGGAUGCGAGCGUUAUCCGGAUUUAUUGGGUUUAAAGGGUGCGUAGGCUGUGAGGUAAGUCAGCGGUGAAAUGCCCCCGCUCAACGGGGUGAAGUGCCGUUGAUACUGUCUCGCUGGAAUGCGGAUGCCGUGGGAGGAAUGUGUGGUGUAGCGGUGAAAUGCAUAGAUAUCACACAGAACACCGAUUGCGAAGGCAUCUCACGAAUCCGCGAUUGACGCUGAUGCACGAAAGCGUGGGUAUCAAACAGG
rnacentral:rRNA from 1 species